rnacentral:rRNA from 1 species
GACGAACGCUGGCGGCGUGCUUAACACAUGCAAGUCGAACGGUGAAAGCGGAGCUUGCUCCGCUGGAUCAGUGGCGAACGGGUGAGUAACACGUGGGCAACCUGCCCCUCACUUCGGGAUAACUCCGGGAAACCGGGGCUAAUACCGGAUAUGACCUCCUUGGGCAUCCUUGGAGGGGGAAAGUUUUUCGGUGAGGGAUGGGCCCGCGGCCUAUCAGCUUGGUGGUGAGGUAGUGGCUCACCAAGGCGACGACGGGUAGCCGGCCUGAGAGGGCGACCGGCCACACUGGGACUGAGACACGGCCCAGACUCCUACGGGAGGCAGCAGUGGGGAAUAUUGCGCAAUGGGCGAAAGCCUGACGCAGCAACGCCGCGUGCGGGAUGACGGCCUUCGGGUUGUAAACCGCUUUCAGCAGGGAAGAAGCCGCAAGGUGACGGUACCUGCAGAAGAAGCACCGGCUAACUACGUGCCAGCCGCCGCAGUAACAC